rnacentral:other from 19 species
CCUCUAAAAUGCGCGCAUACUUAAUGAUUGGUAAUUCCUUACUGGUUAAGAGUUUCGGACUUAAGUAUGAUGUUGUGUUUGCAUAUUGUUUGGGAAACCAAACAGAGUAACUUAUCUUAAGUUACUUAUUUUCACUUCCUGUAUAUUUAUUUUAGACCCUUUUGGUUAAACACCGCUCUAUCGAGCGGUGUUUUUUUAU